rnacentral:rRNA from 1 species
GAUUAAGUUAUUAAGGGCGCACGGUGGAUGCCUUGGCACUAGAAGCCGAUGAAGGACGUUACUAACGACGAUAUGCUUUGGGGAGCUGUAAGUAAGCUUUGAUCCAGAGAUUUCCGAAUGGGGAAACCCAGCAUGAGUUAUGUCAUGUUAUCGAUAUGUGAAUACAUAGCAUAUCAGAAGGCACACCCGGAGAACUGAAACAUCUUAGUACCCGGAGGAAGAGAAAGAAAAUUCGAUUCCCUUAGUAGCGGCGAGCGAAACGGGAAGAGCCCAAACCAACAAGCUUGCUUGUUGGGGUUGUAGGACACUCUAUACGGAGUUACAAAGGACGACAUUAGACGAAUCAUCUGGAAAGAUGAAUCAAAGAAGGUAAUAAUCCUGUAGUCGAAAAUGUUGUCUCUCUUGAGUGGAUCCUGAGUACGACGGAGCACGUGAAAUUCCGUCGGAAUCUGGGAGGACCAUCUCCUAAGGCUAAAUACUCUCUAGUGACCGAUAGUGAACCAGUACCGUGAGGGAAAGGUGAAAAGCACCCCGGAAGGGGAGUGAAAUAGAACCUGAAACCGUGUGCUUACAAGUAGUCAGAGCCCGUUAAUGGGUGAUGGCGUGCCUUUUGUAGAAUGAACCGGCGAGUUACGAUUUGAUGCAAGGUUAAGCAGUAAAUGUGGAGCCGUAGCGAAAGCGAGUCUGAAUAGGGCGUUUAGUAUUUGGUCGUAGACCCGAAACCAGGUGAUCUACCCUUGG